GAGAGGGAACGAUCGUGUGAAUCAUUGUGACUCAGAUAAAGAACAUGAAGGAGGGAGAAUAUAACAAGAGAAAAUAAAUUCAGUUCGACUGUGUAAAUCGAGCCUUUAAAGGAUUUUCGUGAUGUUUUCUUUUUUCUUUUUUUUCUCUCUCCCUCUCUUUUUUUUGUUUUUAUAUAUUCAAACAUAACGUAUAACGUAUAUAUUAUAUCGACGUAUGGUUAUCUUUGUGUAAUAUGCGCGAUAACGUACGAUCAAUAAGUAUCCUUUCGUUUAUUUAUUUGUUGGAGAAAAUGUGCUCUGAAAAUAGAAUCGAAUAGUAAAAAUGAAUAAGAAAAAAAAAAUAAUAAUAGUAAAUAAAUAAAUAAAGGAAAAGAAGGCAAUGAAAUUUUUAUAAAAUUGUUAAUUUGGAUUCGUUGAGAGAUAUCGAUAAUAAUUGAGAAUAGAAGUAAUUCGGGGUGAUAAGGAAAACUGAAAAGUUUCUUUUUCGAAUAGAUUUAAAUUAAAUCGAUAGAAAACAAUAUCUAACGACAAAUACUACGAGGUUUCAGAUAAUUUAUAGAAGUCACAUCAACAAAUGGAAACGUUCGACUCGAAGGACUGCCGGGGUUAGACUAGUAAACAGCAGAUAGUAGGAAAUGAUUCCUUAAAUAUUUAAGAAACGUUCAAUGUCAGUCGUCUUGUUUUAUCCAAGGAUAAGUUUCCUAUUUCGACUCACCAAAAUUUUCAGAAAAUAAUGUUUCCUCUGGCGAACGGAAGUCGUCUUCGUCUUCUGUUUAUCGAUCGCUAUGAUCGUAAUGGUUGAAAGUUAUAAAUGACUAAAGGGAAAAUAUAAAAUGGGUAGUUUCUCGGAAGAAGAGCGGAAGGUCUUUUGCCGAUGGAAGACGUAUCCAUAACGACGAAUGUGUCACAACACGCAUAUUCGUAUGAACAAAAAAGAAAGAAGAAAAAAAAGAAACAAAUUUGUCGAAUUUAUAUAUGGGAUCAUUUAUCUAUUUGCUUCACAUUUUUCUUCUUUUUAGAACUUCGAAUCUCUUUCUAAAGUAGUUUCAUUAUUCUAAUAACAAUUAUUUGGAUUGUGAAGUAUUUUUUGAAUAAAUAACAUGAUCAUUUUUGUUAUUAGUGGGUUAGU